CCUACGGGAGGCAGCAGUGAGGAAUAUUGGUCAAUGGACGAGAGUCUGAACCAGCCAAGCAGCGUGAAGGAUGACUGCCCUAUGGGUUGUAAACUUCUUUUAUAUGGGAAUAAAACGUUCCACGUGUGGGAUUUUGUAUGUACCAUAUGAAUAAGGAUCGGCUAACUCCGUGCCAGCAGCCGCGGUAAUACGGAGGAUCCGAGCGUUAUCCGGAUUUAUUGGGUUUAAAGGGAGCGUAGGUGGAUUGUUAAGUCAGUUGUGAAAGUUUGCGGCUCAACCGUAAAAUUGCAGUUGAAACUGGCAGUCUUGAGUACAGUAGCGGUGGGCGGAAUUCGUGGUGUAGCGGUGAAAUGCUUAGAUAUCACGAAGAACUCCGAUUGCGAAGGCAGUUCACUGGACUGCAACUGACACUGAGGCUCGAAAGUGUGGGUAUCAAACAGGAUUAGAUACCCGAGUAGUC
rnacentral:rRNA from 1 species